rnacentral:rRNA from 1 species
GACGAACGCUGGCGGCGUGCUUAACACAUGCAAGUCGAGCGAUGAAACUUCUUCGGAAGUGGAUUAGCGGCGGACGGGUGAGUAACACGUGGGCAACCUGCCUCAUAGUGGGGAAUAGCCUCUCGAAAGGGAGAUUAAUACCGUAUGUGGUCGAGAGACGAAAGAUUUAUCGCCAAAGGAUCGGCCCGCGUUGGAUUAGGUAGUUGGUGGGGUAAUGGCCUACCAAGCCGACGAUCCAUAGCUGGUUUGAGAGGAUGAUCAGCCACACUGGGACUGAGACACGGCCCAGACUCCUACGGGAGGCAGCAGUGGGGAAUCUUAGACAAUGGGGGAAACCCUGAUCUAGCCAUGCCGCGUGAUCGAUGAAGGCCUUAGGGUUGUAAAGAUCUUUCAGUGGGGAAGAUAAUGACUGUACCCACAGAAGAAGCCCCGGCUAACUCCGUGCCAGCAGCCGCCGUAA